UGCGUAGGCGGUUUACUAAGUCAGAUGUGAAAGCCCCGGGCUUAACCUGGGAACUGCAUUUGAUACUGGCAGACUAGAGUAUGAUAGAGGGGGGUAGAAUUCCUGGUGUAGCGGUGAAAUGCGUAGAUAUCAGGAGGAAUACCAGUGGCGAAGGCGGCCCCCUGGAUCAAUACUGACGCUGAGGUACGAAAGCGUGGGCAGCGAACA
rnacentral:rRNA from 1 species